AUUGAACGCUGGCGGCAGGCCUAACACAUGCAAGUCGAACGGUAGCACAGAGAGCUUGCUCUCGGGUGACGAGUGGCGGACGGGUGAGUAAUGUCUGGGAAACUGCCCGAUGGAGGGGGAUAACUACUGGAAACGGUAGCUAAUACCGCAUAACGUCGCCAGACCAAAGUGGGGGAACUUCGGGCCUCACACCAUCGGAUGUGCCCAAAUGGGAUUAGCUAGUAGGUGGGGUAAUGGCUCACCUAGGCGACGAUCCCUAGCUGGUCUGAGAGGAUGACCAGCCACACUGGAACUGAGACACGGUCCAGACUCCUACGGGAGGCAGCAGUGGGGAAUAUUGCACAAUGGGCGCAAGCCUGAUGCAGCCAUGCCGCGUGUAUGAAGAAGGCCUUCGGGUUGUAAAGUACUUUCAGCGGGGAGGAAGGCGGUGAAGUUAAUAGCUUCACCGAUUGACGUUACCCGCAGAAGAAGCACCGGCUAACUCCGUGCCAGCAGCCGCCGUAA
rnacentral:rRNA from 1 species